GACUUGGUCGAUCCUCCACUCGGUACGGACAUGUCACGGUUUUCAACGGGCCGGUAAGGAGAUGGAAGAAGAAAUGGGUGAACGUUUCCCCAUCUAACGGCCGCGGCAACAACAAUAAUCAUUCUAAAAAUCACCAUAGAAUCAAUAGUACAUCUAACGGUAAUAACGGUACGCAUCUCCUCCUUUUUAAGUGGACCCCAAUAUCCCAUAGCCAAAACAACAACGCAAACAAUUCUACCAAGGCCGUUGCGUGGCGGAGCCCGAGGAGCCUCCCAGGCGGAAAUUUAAAUACAUCCCGAUUGCUGUGUUAGAAGAACAGAAAAAGGAAGAUGCAGGAAAUGUUGAGGAUGAAACUAAAACAAGUGAGACCGACCCCAGUGUAGCUGAGCCAACUUCCAGGAAUGAUGCUUUUGAUGACAUUAAUGACGUGCCUCCGGAACAAAAUGAGGAGGACAAUAAAAUAGUAGGACAAGGUCUGAACGAAAGCACAUUGGAUUUGAGUUUAGGUUUGAUUGCUCAUGAUGGCGAGUCUGAUUCAAAACCAGAUCAUAAUGGUCAGCUGGGAUUGGAAAGAGUGAA